GGAGAGAUGGCUCAGUGGUUAAGAGCACUGGUUGCUCUUCCAGAGGCCCUGAGUUCAAUUCCCGGUGACCCCA
rfam:Rattus norvegicus chromosome 11, whole genome shotgun sequence.